rnacentral:tRNA from 1 species
GCUCGGGUGGCGGAAUUGGUAUACGCGCAACACUUAAAAUGUUGUCCGCAAUGCGGAUACGGGUUCGACUCCCGUCCCGAGCA